ensembl:lncRNA
UUGAUAAAAUUUUUAAUAAGUACAAAAUAGAUGUUUCCAAUUUAGCCAAGUAUUAUGAUUUUAAAACAAAUGAAAAUAAAACUGGUAAUAACAUCGAUGAAGAGAAGAGUGCUAGCUUAGAGAAGAGUAUGAAUAACAUAGGGGGAGAUAGUAAUAAAAUUGGUUCUAAUGGGACUGGUUCUAAUGGGACUGGUUCUAAUGAGACAGGUUCUAAUGAGACAGGUUCUAAUGAGACAGGNNNNNNNNNNGUUCUAAUGAGACAGGUUCUAAUGAGACAGGUUCUAAUGAGACAGGUCCUAAUGAGACAGGUUCUAAUGAGACAGGUCCUAAUGAGACAGGUUCUAAUGAGACAGGUUCUAAAGGGACAGGUUAUAAUGAGACAGGCUCUAAUGAGACAGGUUCUAAAGGAACAGGUUCUAAAGGGACAGGUUCUAAAGGGACAGGUUCUAAAGGGACAGGUUCUAAAGGGACAGGUUCUAAAAAGGCAGUUUCUAACGAGACUUGUUCUAACAGAACCAGAUCCAACGAAAACGACAACAAGAACAAGAACAGCAACGAGAAAAAGUUAGAGCAAAAUAAUAUAACUAAAGGUGAAAAGGAAAGUUACAAUAGUAAUGUCGAGUGUUCCAGUAACAAUAUCGAAAUAAACCAUUCGGAUAAAAUAAAAAUAUUGUUUGAACAAAACAAAAGCAAUGAGAUAACAAGUGGUUAUUUAAAGAAAAAUAAAAAAGAUACUUUGGAAAAAAAAAUAUGCGAAGAAAAAUUGUCAUUAUCAGGAAAUUUGUCAGAUGACAGCGCGAGUGAAAAUAGUGAAGAACAUACAGAUGAUAAUGAAUCGUUAAACUUUGAAAGUGAUGAUAAUGAUUAUAUAACAGAAAAUGUUUUAAAAGUUAUAUUAAAUAUAAAAGGAGAAAAAAUAAGCUUGGAGCAUUUUAAAAAUUAUUUUACCAACUUAAAUUACGAUGUUCAGAUUGAAAAUAUACAAUUAUUAUAUAAUUGUAUUUAUAAAUAUCGUUUGAAUCAGGUUGAUAACAAAAGUGAUAAGCGUAUAGAUGUGUCAGAUGUAAAUGUUGAUACAAAAGAAACAGAUGAAGACGAAGUAUACAUAACUGUUACCGACAUCCAGAACUAUAUAAUUAGUAGAAAUGUUAAAAAUAAUAAUUAUUUUAAUAAAGUUAUUAAAAUGAUUAUACACUUUAAUAAUAUUAUUGUACUUAUGUUAAAUAGUAAUAAAACUGAAACAAUAGAUAAAAUCUUAUUUGAAUUACUAUCAAUAAAGUUUGCAUCUGUAUUUAAUGACAUAUUAAAAUUACCUAAUGAUAUAGAUAACUUAAUAAAGCAUUUAAACGAAAUUAUACAGUUAAUUUUAUCUGAUGAAUCGAAAGACCAUAAUUUAAAAAACAUAAUAUGUAAAUACUUGAACAGUCAGGGUAUAUUAAUCAAAAAAAAUGAUAUUUUAGCACAGCUAAAUGGAAGAAAACCUACGAAGUGGGAAGGUCUAAAAAUGGAUUGUGUCGAAGAACAAAUUAGUCAUUUUAGUGACGAAACUAAACAGAAUAGUAUUUUUUCUGUAGGUGAUGUUGCAACUAUUCAAACGGACUAUAGUGCUAGCCAAUCAAAAAAACAUAUAAUUUCAAAAAAUGUUAGCACAAGUAAUAAUAAAGUGACUGAAAAUAGUAGUGGAAGCUGUAGCAGUGGCACUAGCAGUUGUAGCAAUGGUAUUAUUAAAACAGGUAAUAUUAAAAAGGCAAGUAAGAAAUCAAUGAGUAGUGUUAACAAGGACUCUGAGAACAACACACGCCUUUUGACGAACAACAUGAUAGGAGUACUACAUGAUAAAAAAGAAAACACUGUAGGUGAAAAUACAAAAAAAAGUUUAACAGGUACUAAGAAAAAAAAAAAAAAUAUGAUAGUAAAUAAUAAUCAAACAUUAAGCGAUUUUGUUGUUUCAAGAGGUGUGGAUAGUCAAAACCAAGCUGCUAACAACAGUAGUACUGCUAGUGUCAAAGGUAGCAGUAACAAAAGUGUUCAAAGUAGUAGUAACGAUAGCAUAGGUAGUGGUAUAAGUAGUGGUAUAGGUACCGGCAUAGGUAGCGGCGUAGAUAGUGGCGCAGGUAGUGGUGUAAGAGAUAACAUACGAAACGGGUGCAAUAAAGGGAGUGUUAAAACUAGUAGUAACGAAAGCAUAAAAAGUAGUAUCAAAUCGAAAAACAGAUACAGUGUCGGUGGCAGUCUUAAAGAUAGCGUGCGAACUGGCACCAGUAACCGCACCAUAAAAGAAAACAUGAAGGAGAAAGAAAACAAGACUAACAACCAUAAUUUAAAGAGUCAAGAUAACAUGAUAAGUAACAACAAAAAAAAUGACAAACAAGAAAAUGAAAAAAAUGUUAACAACACUAGUACUAAUUUAAACAAAAAUGUUGAAAAAAUGAAAGAAGGUUUAAAAAAGAAAAAUGUAUUAAAAGAAGAAUCAAAUAAAAUUGCAACUGCAGAAAAAGAAACUGAUAAAAUAAAAAAAACAAAAAAAAAUGCACAAGUAACAACUAAUAAUGAUAAAAAAGUGAGCAAACACUUUACAAGUGAAGGUAAUGUAGAAAUUUUAAAAGGAACUAAAAAUAAAGUUAACAGUGUUGAAAAUAAAAUUAAUCAUGUUGAAAAUAAAAUUGCGGACGUACAAACAAAUGUGGGGAUGAGUGUAAAUUUAAAUAAUAAAAACAAUGUAAAUGAGGUACAAAACAAUUAUAAUUACGUAAAAAAUAAUAGUAAUUACCCUAAUAUACGAAUGUAUAGUUUAGCAAACAACACCAAUGCAAUGGUUGUAGCAGCAGGAGGUGCUCUUAAUAGUGCUAACAGCAUAAUUACAAACGAGCCGUAUAGACACUCUUUCAGUACAAAUCACAAAAAUAUUGUCACGACACAACAUACUAAGCUUUACCCACCGAACCCUAUGGUAUACAAAAAAGGGUUUCCUAUUGUGUUAUCUAAUACUAGCAAUUUAAAAAAAAAUAGUUUAAGCAGUACGGGUAAAUAUGGUAAUAAGACUCAACAAAAAGUCUUUGGUGGAAAUUUAUCUACUCACAGUGAUACUCAUAGGGAUACGCAUAACUAUACAUACCAUCACCAUAAUAGUAAUAAUGUUUGUAGCAAUAUGCACAGUAAUGAUAAAUAUGCCGUUAACAACGUAAGUAAGUCUAAUGAUGCAAAAUCAAAAAUAAAGCAUAACAAUAGUAAUAAUAUAAAUAACAUAGUAGAACAUAGUUAUUUAUGGAAUGGUUCAAAUAAUGUAAAUAUAAAUAAGCAACAUACUGACAUAUUGGAUUAUAAUUAUGUUAUUAAUAACAAUACAAGAAAUAUACAUGACAACUCAAAUAGUGAAAACCGAAGUGGUAGUAAUAGUAAAAAUAAUAAUGUGAGUCCGCAAAUCAUACAAAAUUAUACGAACCAAAUAGAAAGUACAAAAGACACGAGUUCGUUAUCUAAUCAACACAAAAUGUUAAACGUAAAUUCGAGCAAAUCGAAUAUGACAGGUAAUACAAGAGUAGUCAUAUCUGAAAAUACUAAUGAUCAUAAUAAUAUAUGUGCGAAAAAUUUAUUAGUGUAUAAUACUAACCAAAAGGGGGUCACAAAACAGAAUAUCCAAAAGGGUGACGUUAGUAGUAAUACUAAUAUGGUUAACAAAAUUGACUCGAACAUGAACAUGCGUACAAACAUGAACACGAGCAUGAACAAGACCAUGAACAAGACCAUGAACAAGACCAUGAACAAGACCAUAGAACAUUACACUUUAAAAAGUAAUGAUAUAAUGAAUAAUGUAUAUAAAAUGAAAAAGAUACCGCUACCUUAUUUGAAUUAUGAUAAAAAAACACUUAUGUUUGAAAAUGGAAUGCAUAAUAAUGGUUACAACAAAUUGAUGAACAGUAGUGGUGCAGCAAAUAUGGCAAUCAACAAUGAUACGACAAAUGUAGCAAACAACAACAAUAUGUUUUUCACUUUCAAACGCAAAAUUAAUAAUACAAAUGAUAAAACUAAUGCAUCAAUGCAAAAAGCAAAGGAACCACGUGCACACAGAAGUGCAACUACGAAUCUAUUUGUAAAUCCUACUAAUGAUUUAACUAAUAAAAAUAUGAACAAGACAGGAGAAGUUAAUUAUAACGGUAGUGCAAAAAUUACACUAGCUAAUUUCGAAAGCAAUUUAAUAAAACCAACCGAUUUAAAAAUGGCGACAAGUAGUAAUAGAACAGGUUAUAAUGAUAACAGCCACAGCAAGGCAUAUAAAACCGAUAACGUAUUAAAAGUAGAAGUACAAAAUGAAAAAGAAAAAAAGAAUGCCUACAGUCGCUUUACCGAAAUGAUUUCAAACAAAUUAAAAAACUUUACUUUACGAACUAAUAAGUUAGAAGUUUAUAGUGAACCUAAAAAAAAUAGUCCAUUAUCUAACGGCAAUAAUGAUAAAGAAACAAAUGAUCAUAACAGAAAUAUUAGAGGUAGCAAUGAUUCCGAAAUGUGUAAGGACAAUGAUAGUAAUAAUAAUAAUAACAAUAAUAGUAGUAGUAUUAAUGAUAAUAAGAGUAACAAUGGUUCGAUUCAAGCAUGCAUUAACCAAAAAAAAGACAUAAACAAAGACAUAAACAAAGACAUAAACAUAAACAUAAACAAAAACGUAAAUAACAGUAACUAUGCCAGCUACAGUUUUGGUGAUAGUAAAAAUAAAGAUAAAACUGCUACUUGCUUUAUGAAUCCAGUAAAUAUAAAACAAAAUAAUCAUGCUGUAGUAACAGGUGGUACAAUUGCAAGUGCAAAAGGAGUGGUAGAUAAUGUGUUGAAAGAAAAAAAAGGACAAGUACAACCACAACCACAACCACAACCACAACCACAACCACAAAUGCAAAUCCAAAUUAAGAACAACACAGAACCAAAUGCGACUAUAAUAACAAAUAAAAGCAACACAAACAAUAAUAAAGAAACAAAUGCAAAACCAAUAGCCGAAAAUAAUAUGAAAAAUACUGUGAACCAUUUAUACACCGUAAAAAAAAAUACAAUAGGAGUUGAUGACACAAAUAAAUCGAGCAGUAUAUAUAAUAAUACCUUGCACACAUAUAAUAACGUUUAUAAUGAUAAACAAGACAUAAAUAACAAUAUAAAAAAUAGCCAUUCAAUAGUAAAUACAGUUGGUCGUACACAACAAAAUAUAAUAAAAAACAUGAACAACAAAAAUACACAAUAUGUGACUUGUAAAAAAAUGAAUGUGCCUUACUAUCCCCACUUUCAAAAACGAAAUAGCAAUUAUUUACAUGAAUCCAAUUCAUAUACAAAACGUAAUGAUAAAAAUAAUGCACACUUAAAAAUUAACGAACAAAAUAAUGAAACAAAUAUGAACAUUUUAAAAACUAAUAAAAUAUAUUUUCCGAAUGACUCUAUCAUGAAUCAACAACCUGUCUUUAUGGGUAAGGAAAAUAAAAAUUUUGUUGAAAAUUCUGUUAAUACUAAAAUGGGCAUAAGUAAUUAUAUUAGUAGUAAUAUUGUGGGUACAAGUCAUGUUGGUGCGUAUGCUGUACAUGCAAAUGUAGGUAAUGCAAAUGUGGCUAGUACAAAUGUGGCUAGUGCAAAUGUGACUAAUGCUAAUUCCGCAAAAUCCACUUCCCUACAUAAAUUAAAACAAGUAUCAAACAGUUUCAAUACAUAUAACGGGAAAAUGAAUAUAGACAAUAAUAAAGACAUCUUAAAUGCAACAAAUUAUCAUAAAGCGGGACAAAAUAAUUUGUAUGAGGGUUUAUAUUCACAUGAUAUGCCAAAACAAAUGGUCAUACCUGAGUACCGAGUUAUAAAUAGCUAUACGAAAGACACUAAAAUUAUAGGAAAAGAUGGAAAAAGUGAAAAAAGAGAAAGAAACGAAGGAGAAGAAAAAAACCAAAGAAAAGAAGAAAACGAAAAUGAUAGGAAUGAAAAAAAAUAUAGUAAUAGUCCCAAUAUAGGUUCUAUUGGUUACCACCAGUAUGUACAACCAAAACAAGAGAAUACUAUUCAAUACCAUUAUGUACAACCAAAAAAAGAGGAUACUAUUCAAUACCAGUAUGUACAACCAAAACAAGAGGAUACUAUUCAAUACCAUUAUGUACAAUCAAAACAAGAGGAUACUAUUCAAUACCAGUAUGUACAACCAAAACAAGAGAAUACUAUUCAAUACCAUUAUGUACAACCAAAACAAGAGGAUACUAUUCAAUACCAGUAUGUCCAACCUGAGCAAGCUGUCAUCCAUGGUGGUUAUCAAUAUGCUCAACCAGGACAAACAGAUUCUAUUCAAUACCAGUAUGUACAACAAGAACAAGCUGUUUCUAGCGAUAUGAAAAACAUGGUUCCAUUUAUUGAUGAAAAUAAUUUAUCUAUUGAACAAAUUAUGAAUAUACCAGGUGUAAAGUUAGGUAACAGUUAUAUACAAGACAUAGAUAUAUGUUCUGAUUGGCUGAAAUUUAAUGACUAUGAUAAAAAUUUAAUUAAAGAAUCAUUAAAAAACAGUAUACAAAAUGAUAAUUAUAAAAACGUGGUAGGUCAUGGACAAUUUACUAAUACUACUUUCAAGACAUAGUGUGCGUUUUACCUAUUUUAAGAUUAUAUAUUUUUUAUUAAUUAUUUACCUAGGGGGGACAGGGAGAAAAAAAAAAAAAAAAAAAAAAAAAAAAAAAAAAAAAAAAAAAAAUUUAAGUUGUUAUAAACAUAGUUUCGAUUAAGAGGAAUACAUAUGCAUGUGUCUAAUCACGAGUUAAUAAAGACUAAAAUUAUUUUUAUCCCA